GGAAUCUUGGACAAUGGGGGCAACCCUGAUCCAGCCAUGCCGCGUGAGUGAUGAAGGCCCUAGGGUUGUAAAGCUCUUUCAGCAGGGAUGAUAAUGACAGUACCUGCAGAAGAAGCCCCGGCUAACUUCGUGCCAGCAGCCGCGGUAAUACGAAGGGGGCUAGCGUUGUUCGGAAUUACUGGGCGUAAAGCGCACGUAGGCGGACUAUUAAGUCAGAGGUGAAAUCCCGGGGCUCAACUCCGGAACUGCCUUUGAUACUGGUAGUCUUGAGUCCGAGAGAGGUGAGUGGAACUCCUAGUGUAGAGGUGGAAUUCGUAGAUAUUAGGAAGAACACCAGUGGCGAAGGCGGCUCACUGGCUCGGUACUGACGCUGAGGUGCGAAAGCGUGGGGAGCA
rnacentral:rRNA from 1 species